rnacentral:lncRNA from 1 species
UGUCACGACCCGCGACCACCCGCCUAUUUGGCCGAGGUCCCGGCGCCGCCGACAUCGCCGAAUGGACAGGGUUUCCCCUGUACUACGGACAGAGUCUCCCCUGUACAUUCAAGGCAUCGCAAUCAAUACAAUACAAGAGGUUCCAACCAGGAACAGUAUUCACUCAUAGAUUGCAUAAGGAAGUAUCAAAAACAUAAACUACUAAGUUAUUACAGCAUUCAACUUAGAUGCAUUUUACAACAUAAUUUUUCCUUUUACAAUCAACCUCCAAAUACAAUCAUAAUUA